ACGGCCAUACCACAUUGAAAACACCGGAUCCCGUCCAAUCACCGAAGUUAAGCAAUGUCAGACCCGGUCAGUACUUGGGAGGGUGACCACCUGGGAACACCGGGUGCUGUAGGCU
rnacentral:rRNA from 1 species